UACGGAGGAUGCAAGCGUUAUCCGGAAUGAUUGGGCGUAAAGCGUCCGCAGGUGGCUAUGUAAGUCUGCUGUUAAAGAGUGAGGCUCAACCUCAUAAGAGCAGUGGAAACUACAUGGCUAGAGUGCGUUCGGGGCAGAGGGAAUUCCUGGUGUAGCGGUGAAAUGCGUAGAGAUCAGGAAGAACACCGGUGGCGAAGGCGGGUCUCUGGACAGUUCCUGACGCUGAGGCACGAAGGUCAGGGGAGCAAACGGG
rnacentral:rRNA from 1 species